rnacentral:rRNA from 1 species
UACGUAGGGGGCGAGCGUUGUCCGGAAUCAUUGGGCGUAAAGCGCGUGUAGGCGGCCCGGUAAGUCCGCUGUGAAAGUCCAGGGCUCAACCCGUGGGAUCGCCGGUGGAUACUGUCGGGCUAGAGUCCGGAAGAGGAGUGUGGAAUUCCUGGUGUAGCGGUGAAAUGCGCAGAUAUCAGGAAGAACACCCGUGGCGAAGGCGGCUCUCUGGGACGGUACUGACGCUGAGACGCGAAAGCGUGGGG